UACGGAGGGUGCAAGCAUUAAUCGGAGUUAUUGGGCGUACAGGGCGCGUAGGCGGUAAUAAAAGUCAGACGUGAAAUCCCGAAGCUUAACUUCGGAACUGCGUAUGAAACUUUAUUACUAGAGGAUAGGCGGAGAAAGCGGAAUUCCACAAGUAGCGGUGAAAUGCGUAGAUAUUUGGAGGAAUACCAGCGGCGAAGGCGGCCCUCUGGACGAUGACUGACGCUCAGACGAGAAAGCGUGGGGAGCAAACAGG
rnacentral:rRNA from 1 species